ensembl:lncRNA novel transcript
CUGGGGGUGAGGGAGGGGGAGAGAAAGGGGCCUGCAGAAGGUGCACUGCCAGAGCAUUUGGGGCCUGUGGAGAGGGUGUGGCCAAAGGAGACAGAGGGGGUGAGGCAGGGGGAGAGGGAGGGGCCUGCAGAGGAGGCAAGGCCAGGGCAGGUGGGGCCUGUGGAGGGGGCGUGGCCAAAGGAGACAGAGGGGGAGAGGGCAGGCCCUGCAAAGGGGGUGAGGCCAGAGCAGGUGGGGCCUGUGGAGGAGGCGUGGCUAUGGAAGAGGGCGUCUCCGGAGGGGGCGUGGUCAAUGGCGAAGGUGGUGCUUGCAGAGGGCAUGGGGCUGGACAAGGUGGAGUCUCCAGAUGGGGUGUGGUCAGGGGAGCAGAAGCUGUCUGCAGAGGAGGCGGGGCUAGAGAAGGUAGGUUCUCCAGAGGGGGUGUGGUCAGGGAAGCAGGAGGUGUCUGCAGAGAGGGUGGGGCUAGGGAAGAUUGGGUCUCCAGAGGGGGCAUGAUCAGGGAAGAGAGAGGUGCCUGAGGAGAGUGGGAGGCCAGAGAAGAUAGCGCCUGCAGAGGGUGUAUGGUCAGGGGUGAGCUUAGGGGUGAGACAGCAGGAGAGAGAGAAGUCUGCAGAGGGGGUGAGGCAGGAAGGGAAAGAGGGGCCUGCAGAGGGGGUGAAUCAGGGGG